CUAAUACUUCCUUCGUCCGAAAAAGUUUGUCCCUCAAAUGGAUGUACCUAGCAACAAGUUAGUGCUAGAUACAUUCAUUUAAAGGAUAAGCUUGAGACAAGCUUUUUCGGACGGAGGAAGUAGCCA
rfam:Triticum aestivum genome assembly, contig: Triticum_aestivum_CS42_TGACv1_scaffold_605236_7DL